rnacentral:tRNA from 1 species
GGAGGUAUAGCUCAGUGAUAGAGUGAUGCCUAGCAUGCACGAGGUCCUGGAUUCAAUCCCCAGCACCUCCA